rnacentral:rRNA from 1 species
GUAGUCUCGCACAGAUGCAUAUCAAUAAGCGGAGGAAAAGAAACUAACAAGGAUUCCCUCAGUAACGGCGAGUGAAGCGGGAAGAGCUCAAAUUUGAAAUCUUGAAAGGUCACCUUUCACGAAUUGUAGUUUAAAGAAGUGUUUUCUGUUACGAUCGUAAUAUAAGUUCUUUGGAAUAGGACAUCACAGAGGGUGAGAAUCCCGUCUAUGAUUGCGAUUUGUAGCUUUGUGAUUACACUUUCAAAGAGUCGGGUUGUUUGGGAAUGCAGGCCCAAAACGGGAGGUAAAUUUCUUCUAAGGCUAAAUAUUGGCGAGAGACCGAUAGCGAACAAGUACCGUGAGGGAAAGAUGAAAAGAACUUUGAAAAGAGAGUUAAAUAGUACGUGAAAUUGUCAAAAGGGAAGCGUUUAACACCAGUGUUGUUUUCUGAAAAUCAACCUCUGUUAGCUUUAUGCAUGUUUGUUUAGACCUAAUCAGCUAUCUUGCAUGUUCUAUUGUUUGCAGUGGUGCACUUUUCAGUUUACAGGUCAACAUCAGUUUUUUUUACCGUAAAAAAGUUAAAGAAAGGUAGCUCAUGGCUCCGGUCGUGAGUGUUAUAGUCUUUUUCCUAUGCGGUAGGAGAGACUGAGGUCUGCAGUGUAGGCUAUUUGGCUAGAUACUCAGGUGCUAUGUGAUACCAUUUCAUAAACAACUUGUUGAUUAUGUUUUGUCUAUUGCAUACUCGCUUGUACUAUCAUACCUACGCUUAGGAUGUUGAGUCGUAGAGCACGCAG